UACGUAGGUGACAAGCGUUGUCCGGAUUUACUGGGCGUAAAGAGCGCGCAGGCGGUCGAUCAAGUCGAGUGUGAAAGCCCCCGGCUCAACUGGGGAGGGUCAUUCGAUACUGAUCGACUCGAAGGCAGGAGAGGGUAGUGGAAUUCCCGGUGUAGUGGUGAAAUGCGUAGAUAUCAGGAGGAACACCGGUGGCGAAGGCGGCUUCCUGGACCGACACUGACGCUGAGGCGCGAAAGCUAGGGGAGCAAACGGG
rnacentral:rRNA from 1 species